ACAGCUUCAGACUCAGCUUGAGUCUCAGCAUCUCUUUCACCUGCCGUCGAGACAAACUCAAGGACAAUAACCCCAAAGAUUUUGAGCAGCAGAAGAAAUAUCCUUAUGGAUUGUUAAGGCAACUUUGUGGACUGCCAUCUGAAUCACUACACCUGGAAACUUUGAGGAGACUCGCGCUCUGUCUGACAGGACAGAAGAGACGGAGACACAGGCAUCAUUGUCCAGUGAGGAUGAGGACGUUAUACUCUAGAUGGGUUCUGCAGCGGUGGUUCUUUGCUCUCUUCUUACUGUGCUCUCCUGUUCCGCACCACGGCAGGCC